rnacentral:lncRNA from 1 species
AAAAGACCACUCUGCUCUCUCACCCUUUUACAGAGAAAAAGAAAAAAGCAUUAAAAAAGGAAAAAGAGACGAAAAUCCACUCUCUUCCUCCUUCGCCGCCCUCACCAUUCGCUCAUCAUCUCACCCUAAAACAAUCCUCCACCGAAAAAUAACAACCAUAAACCACCAUCUCCGGUCACACAUCCACCACAUCAACGGCGUCAACCGUGACGAC